ACCCUUUCUCGGCCUUUUGGCUAAGAUCAAGUGUAGAGUAUAGUAUUUAUUCUUAUCAGUUUAAUAUCUGAUAUGUGAACCAUGUGCUCACAGUAAUAUUAAAUUUAUUUUUUGUGGGGGUGAGUCCAUAAUAGUAGCUUGCUAUUAAGGCCCACAUGUGUCGCCUGGGUGUUGCACUAUGAGAGAAUUCCUUAUUUAACAGUCCAAAA
rnacentral:snRNA from 1 species